GGAUUCUUGAUGAUGAGUUAUUCUUUUGCACAUUUGCUGAAUUGUUAUCUUUAAUGAACGAUAAAAUCCUUUAUUCAGAACCGCUACUCUGAUAAGUUUCU